UACGUAGGGGGCAAGCGUUAUCCGGAUUUACUGGGUGUAAAGGGAGCGUAGACGGCGGAACAAGUCAGAAGUGAAAACCCAGGGCUCAACCCUGGGAGUGCUUUUGAAACUGUUUGGCUGGAGUGCAGGAGAGGUAAGCGGAAUUCCUAGUGUAGCGGUGAAAUGCGUAGAUAUUAGGAGGAACACCAGUGGCGAAGGCGGCUUACUGGACUGUAACUGACGUUGAGGCUCGAAAGCGUGGGGAGCAAACAGG
rnacentral:rRNA from 1 species